rnacentral:rRNA from 1 species
UACGGGGGGGGCAAGCGUUGUUCGGAAUUACUGGGCGUAAAGGGCUCGUAGGCGGCCAACUAAGUCAGACGUGAAAUCCCUCGGCUUAACCGGGGAACUGCAUCUGAUACUGGAUGGCUCGAGAUUGGGAGAGGGAUGCGGAAUUCCAGGUGUAGCGGUGAAAUGCGUAGAUAUCUGGAGGAACACCGGUGGCGAAGGCGGCAUCCUGGACCAACACUGACGCUGAGGAGCGAAAGCCAGGGGAGCAAACGGG